rnacentral:rRNA from 1 species
CAAGGCUUGACAUGGACCGGAUCGCCGCAGAAAUGUGGUUUCUCCUUUGGGGCCGGUUCACAGGUGGUGCAUGGUUGUCGUCAGCUCGUGUCGUGAGAUGUUGGGUUAAGUCCCGCAACGAGCGCAACCCUCGUUCCAUGUUGCCAGCACGUAGUGGUGGGGACUCAUGGGAGACUGCCGGGGUCAACUCGGAGGAAGGUGGGGACGACGUCAAAUCAUCAUGCCCCUUAUGUCUUGGGCUUCACGCAUGCUACAAUGGCCGGUACAAAGGGUUGCGAUACUGUGAGGUGGAGCUAAUCCCAAAAAGCCGGUCUCAGUUCGGAUUGGGGUCUGCAACUCGACCCCAUGAAGUCGGAGUCGCUAGUAAUCGCAGAUCAGCAACGCUGCGGUGAAUACGUUCCCGGGCCUUGUACACACCGCCCGUCAAGUCACGAAAGUUGGUAACACCCGAAGCCGGUGGCCUAACCCCUUGUGGGAGGGAGCCGUCGAAGGUGGGACUGGCGAUUGGGACU